GACGUUCCUCUCGUCUGACAUCAUCUGUGAAUGAUGUAUGAAGGAGACGUCACUAAUGACGUGUACAGUAGAGUGCAGGAGCCGUCACUCAUGCCGUAGGCAGGAGCCGGCGGCCCGCACACACGUCACUACGCUUCUGGAAGAUGAAUGUGGAAAGUAUGAUUAGGAAACAUGCUCAGGUGUGGCAUCUGCUCACGUCUGAGUAUGAGUUCAAAGCCCGGCUACUCUACAUUUGUAUGCCAUACGUCACGCCUGCAUCCAAGACCGUGUGCUGCGUGCAUCAAACCCACAGAAUGCCAUGUAACUGGCAGGAAUUCACCACCAAGCUUCACAACACGGCCAUCGGUUCCUCCACACCCGAGCAGUGAGAUUUACUUUUGCAAAGAACUAAAUUUUUCUUACUCAGGCUUUGCUCAUAGGCCAGGCCGGCCUGGAAGAAACCAACCCAACACCCUGUAGUGCGGCCGACGGCGUGCACGGUGAACACGGCUAGUUGUACAGUGCUUUCUUCUCCCAGCAUCCCUCUGCCCAGAGACUCCGCUCUCCACGGCCUGACCAGACCUUGGUCAUCAUGUCUUGAUUAAUUAUAGCCAAUCAAUCAUCUUUA